UACAGAGGGUGCGAGCGUUGUCCGGAAUCACUGGGCGUAAAGGGCGCGUAGGCGGCUCAGUAAGGUUGCGGUGAAAGCCCGGGCUCAACCCCGGGUCGGCCGUGGCAACUGCUGGGCUGGAGCACUGUAGAGGCAGGUGGAAUUCCGGGUGUAGCGGUGGAAUGCGCAGAUAUCAGGAAGAACACCCGUGGCGAAAGCGGCUCUCUGGAACGGUACUGACGCUGAGACGCGAAAGCGUGGGGGAGCGAACAGG
rnacentral:rRNA from 1 species